AGGGACUUAGGAUAAAUAGACCAAAGGCCUUCAAAGCCUUAAGUGAGAGUGAAAACCUCUUAGUCUCUG
rnacentral:tRNA from 1 species